rnacentral:rRNA from 1 species
GAUGAACGCUGGCGGCGUGCCUAACACAUGCAAGUCGAACGAAGCUUGACGGAUGAUUUCUUCGGAAUGAAACCAGAUAUGACUUAGUGGCGGACGGGUGAGUAACACGUGAGCAACCUGCCUUUCAGAGGGGGAUAACGGCUGGAAACGGUCGCUAAUACCGCAUGAUGUGUUCGGAUGGCAUCAUCUGAACAUCAAAGAUUUAUCGCUGAAAGAUGGGCUCGCGUCUGAUUAGAUAGUUGGUGGGGUAACGGCCUACCAAGUCUACGAUCAGUAGCCGGACUGAGGGGGUGAACGGCCACAUGGGGACUGAGAUACGGCCCAGACUCCUACGGGAGGCAGCAGUGGAGAAUAUUGCACAAUGGGGGAAACUCUGAUGCAGCAACGCCGCGUGAAGGAUGACGGUUUUCGGAUUGUAAACUUCUUUUCUUAGUGACGAAGACAGUGACGGUAGCUAAGGAAUAAGCAUCGGCUAACUACGUG